AGAGUUUGAUCAUGGCUCAGGACGAACGCUGGUGGCGUGCCUAAUACAUGCAAGUCGAGCGAGACUCUUCGGAGUCUAGCGGCGGACGGGUGAGUAACACGUGGGCAACCUGCCUGUAAGACUGGGAUAACACCGGGAAACCGGUGCUAAUACCGGAUAAUCCUUUUCCUCUCAUGAGGGAAAGCUGAAAGACGGUUUCGGCUGUCACUUACAGAUGGGCCCGCGGCGCAUUAGCUAGUUGGUGAGGUAACGGCUCACCAAGGCGACGAUGCGUAGCCGACCUGAGAGGGUGAUCGGCCACACUGGGACUGAGACACGGCCCAGACUCCUACGGGAGGCAGCAGUAGGGAAUCUUCCACAAUGGACGAAAGUCUGAUGGAGCAACGCCGCGUGAGCGAUGAAGGCCUUCGGGUCGUAAAGCUCUGUUGUUAGGGAAGAACAAGUACCGGAGUAACUGCCGGUACCUUGACGGUACCUAACCAGAAAGCCACGGCUAACUACGUGCCAGCAGCCGCGGUAAUAC
rnacentral:rRNA from 1 species